rnacentral:rRNA from 1 species
UAAGGAAUAUUGCUCAAUGGGAGAAAUCCUGAAGCAGCAACGCCGCGUGGAGGAUGAAGGGUCUAUGACUUGUAAACUCCUGUAAAGAAGGAAAAAAUUCCCAUUUGAUGGGAGAUGAUGGUACUUCUGGAGUAAGCCCCGGCUAACUACGUGCCAGCAGCCGCGGUAAUACGUAGGGGGCAAGCGUUGUCCGGAUUUACUGGGUGUAAAGGGUGCUCAGGCGGAUUUGUAAGUCAGAGGUGAAAUCUUACAGCUUAACUGUGAAACUGCCUUUGAUACUGCAAGCCUAGAGUAUGGAAGAGAGUGAUGGAAUAUCUGGUGUAGCAGUGAAAUGCGUAGAUAUCAGAUAGAACACCAAUGGCGUAGGCAGGCACUUGAUCCAUUACUGACGCUAAAGCACGAAAGCGUGGGUAGCAAACA